AACUCUUCUGCUCUGAACAUUGAGAGAAAGGAUUUGGGUCCAAGGGUUGCUGCUUUUACAGAAUUAUUCCAGGAUGCAUGUGCUAGGGUUGGCAGCUUCACAUACAUGAUCAUCCAUACCAUGUGUCACUGGCAGCAAGUCCAUCGACGAGGAGAAAUUUGAGGCUGCAAAUGUCGUUCUGAAACAUACAAGUCAUGGGAUCUUGUGUGUGGCCAAUGCUGGACCAAGCCUAAGUGGUUCCUAGUUCUCCCUCUCACUGCCAAGACUGAGAGGUUAGAUGGCAGGUGUGUGCUGGGAAGGGGCACAGUGGCAUGAACGUUCAAUGUGGAAGCCGUGGAGCACUAUGGGUACAGGAAUGGCACAGCCAGCAGGAGGCCUACAGUGCUCACUGUGGACAGCGCUA
rnacentral:lncRNA from 1 species